CAUUCUUGCUCUUGUUUCAAUUUGAGUUAGCCUUGAAUUUCCAGAAUUGUUACUUUUUUAUCCGAUUUGAAUUAAUCAUUUUGCUUGCUGCCGUGGCCACCUCACGUUGCUGCUGACUCUGAAAAAUUGCUGCUACUACUGUAAUCCCAAAUUGGAGAGGAGAGGAGGCGUUUAACCUCGUCAUUGUUGCUGCUGCCGGAACCAACACCGGGACUGCCGCUAUAUGGUUCAGUCACUUCUUAUUUGCGAGCACAAAUAUCCCACGGAGGAAAUGAAACAAGAUCUUGCUAAGGAGUUAGGGUUGACUGAGAAGCAAAUUUCUGGAUGGUUUUGCCACAGAAGGUUAAAAGAUAAACGGUUGUUGAAAGAUGAAGCCUCUGCUUCCAUUCCCUCUUGUCGUGAAAGAUGAUGAUGCCAUUUCCCCAAAUCUCAAUGAAGAUGACAUUUCAUUUUGUGCUCUUGGUGAUUUUGAGGUUAAAAAGCAUAGUAAGCAUUGCAGGACGUGCAAUUGAUGCGUCGAAGGAUUCGAUCACCAUUGCAAGUGGUUGAAUAACUGUGUUGGAAAAAGGAACUACACAACAUUCUUUCUUCUUAUGAUUUCCGUCUUAUUAAUGGUGCUUUGCGGAUAAAAGAGGAAUGGUAAAGGAGCUUCAUAGGAAGCUUCAUGGGUACAAAAUUAAUGCCAACAUGCUAGACUUUAUAUUGACUGAAAUAUGCUAGAAGAGUCAAGAAUUAUAAAUUCAAUAUGAUACAAUUUUAUGUUAGGAAAAAGUUGUGUUUAGUUGAAUUUGUAUAAAUUAUUUUAUUGUAAAAGAAUCUUAAUGACAUGUAAGAUAUUUUAAUUAUCUAUAUUAUUAUAUAUCAUAUAAAUGUUGAGUUAGUGGG